ensembl:rRNA 5S_rRNA 5S ribosomal RNA
GUCUACGGCCAUACCACCCUGAACGCGCCCGAUCUCGUCUGAUCUCGGAAGCUAAGCAGGGUCGGGCCUGGUUAGUACUUGGAUGGGAGACAGCCUGGGAAUACCGGGUGCUGUAGGCU